UAAAUAGAUAAAAUAUCGUUGAGACACAUCAGGACAAGCUCUACGUACAACUCAAGUGUCUCGAAGCUGCAAAUCGGGUACGCAUUGCAAAAUAGGUCAUAUUCCUAAGCAAUGGAUAGCCUUAAUUUUAAGUGGUUAAAAUAGCUACUCCAAAGAUUAAAAAACUGCAAAUCAAACGAUGAGCUUAACUGUAUCAUCGGUCAUUCUUAAAAUUUUUCAAAUUGUUACACUUGUCGCUGGUUUGGUAUCUGUUGGCUUCUUCACAAAAGAAUCCGUUGAUUAUAUUGACGAUUCUAAUUCAGAAUCAUAUAAACAAGGCGCUCUUGGUAGACAGGAAUUUUUUCUUUAUACGACCGGCGUCGGAGUUGUUAUUUCAAUCGUUGGAUUGGUUCUCAACUUUAGUGGAUUAAUCGAUAAAAAGCAAAAUGCUGUAGCUAUUCAUAUACAGCUAUAAGGAUCAGACUUUUCAAUCUCUUAUUUUCAACACAAUGACGAACUAUGUCAACGUUUGUGAGGACUAUUUAGAUGGCAGCAGUGCAAGGUGUAUGGACGAUACAGUUAUUGGUCACCACGAGCCUCGUUAACGUUGUCUUCUCUUCGUACAACAAGGAUGAAGACUUUCUAGGACUUUCUAAGUCUGUAUGUGAAGUUUGAGAUGGCGACACAAACAGGAAAUAUGAUUACACCUGUGGUCAAUUGAUUGGUGGAAUGGUUUGCGGUUUUAUUGCUGCGAUCUUGUACGGAGUGGAGGCUGUUCUUACUUUCACAACAUCUGCAGAAUAGGGUUGAUAAGCAAACAAAUCUAUCGCAUUUGGUCGUAAACUAACAAACAAUACUAAAAAUAAACAUUAAAGCAUGCAUUUUAAUAAAAAUAAAAAUUUGUCCUCGUUGUUAUAAAUGAUCAUCCAUGUCUACGUUAUAAGUGAAUAAAAUAGGUACGCAUGUCA